UACGUAGGGUGCAGGCGUUUAAUCGGAAUUACUGGGCGUAAAGCGUGCGCAGGCGGUCUUUUAAGUCAGAUGUGAAAUCCCCGGGCUUAACCUGGGAACUGCGUUUGAAACUGGAAGGCUAGAGUGUGGCAGAGGGGGGGUGGAAUUCCACGUGUAGCAGUGAAAUGGCGUAGAUAUGUGGAGGAACACCGGUGGCGAAGGCGGCAUCCUGGACCAACAC
rnacentral:rRNA from 1 species